rnacentral:sRNA from 1 species
UAGACUAGUUAGUACCUCGGAUUUGCCAC